GUCCUCCGAGGGGCCGCCACGGGGGCUCCAUUGUGCGCGGAGCAGGCCUUUUUCUCCUGCCCUCUGUCUCCCCCGGGCUUCCUCCCCCGCCCCCCCCCCCCACGCAGACUUUUCUCUCAAGCUGCCCGGAUCCCCCUGCUGCCGCAUUUCCAAUGCAGAGGAGCGGGCAGGGCUUCGGGCUGGCCAUCUGCACGCGGAGAUUGACAGCGGCCCCGGAAGGUUGAAAAGGAAGACAGGAGUUUCUGGAUGUACCUGUCAAGACUAAAUGAUUGUUCAUUUCCUGUGAAUUGGGAAUAACGUAAUCACAUGCAGCUGGGGAGCUAGGCUGUGUUUCUUGCUUUUUCCUCUUCCAGAAGCUGGGUCCCUUACCAGCUGGGAAAUAUUACUGUAUGAACGUGCUGAAAAACUUAAGGGAAAUGAAAAGAACAACAACAUUCUAGAUGUCAGCAAUCAGUUUGAUGGUCUUACCUGUACCAACCUGAGAGGAUUUUAAUAGCAAAAAGAACUGCCUUUUCUGACGUCUACCAAACACAAGAUGACGAGGAUGACAAUAAUAAAAAAUAUCAAUGCUGCUGAAGCUCCUUGGGGACUCUUCAGAAUGACACAGCACUAACACAUCCAUUAGGUCAUUUCUUUUCCCUCCUCUCUCUCUUAGUGCUUUGAGGCCAGCAGUGAGAGCAUUGUCACUCCGUCUCACAGUUCACUUAUUUAUUUUGAGAGACAGAGAGAGCGAACAAGAGAGGGG